GAUGAACGCUGGCGGCGUGCCUAAUACAUGCAAGUCGAGCGAACAGAUGAGGAGCUUGCUCCUCUGACAUUAGCGGCGGACGGGUGAGUAACACGUGGAUAACCUACCUAUAAGACUGGGAUAACUUCGGGAAACCGGAGCUAAUACCGGAUAACAUAUUGAACCGCAUGGUUCAAUAGUGAAAGACGGUUUUGCUGUCACUUAUAGAUGGAUCCGCGCCGCAUUAGCUAGUUGGUAAGGUAACGGCUUACCAAGGCAACGAUGCGUAGCCGACCUGAGAGGGUGAUCGGCCACACUGGAACUGAGACACGGUCCAGACUCCUACGGGAGGCAGCAGUAGGGAAUCUUCCGCAAUGGGCGAAAGCCUGACGGAGCAACGCCGCGUGAGUGAUGAAGGUCUUCGGAUCGUAAAACUCUGUUAUUAGGGAAGAACAAAUGUGUAAGUAACUAUGCACGUCUUGACGGUACCUAAUCAGAAAGCCACGGCUAACUACGUG
rnacentral:rRNA from 1 species